UGUCUACACCACCACCAAAGGAGGAAUUUGCCUCCUGCUCGCCAAUGAGGAAGGAGAUGCCCAUGAAGCGUAUAUUCACUUCCUUCAAUAAUAAACUGCCACUUCAUGCAUUCAUGAGUCCUUUAGUGAAAUGUAUAUCUUUUUUAAAGUAAAGUAGAGUGGAGAGAUCGACAAAGAAGAGAAUUAAUGGGCAUUCAAAGUUCAAAGAAAUCCUUCAUGACAUUCUAUGAGUCUUAAUCCAGUGGUGGAGUUCAAAACGGACUAUAUAGGUCUGGCUGCCAAGUCUGUAAAUCCUGUUCUAAUCUAUUCUCCCCUUUGGACUCAAAUAUUGAUAAAGUCCCUGGCAGUCAGGUUCAUGUGUGACACGAAUGGUCUGACAAUAAUUUUUGCUAUGAGUAAUACACCAUUGCAAACCAUGAGGCAAUCUGACCAUAAAUAAAUAGGCUUUCCAUUAUAUACUGUGAUCCUGGCUUUAAUCACACAUUCAUAUACAGUAGCUACAUCUAUCAUAUAAACACACUCUAAAGCCUGCUUCCCAUCAGAAUGUGCCUUGUUGAUCAGAGUCCAGUGGGAGUCAUGAGGCUGGAGCACGAAGUCUCAAUGGGUGUUAAGUUUUUCACCUGUCUACCUCAUCCAGGGCUGUGGAGAUGGAGGUUGCCCCCUCCUCAGGGAGAAGCUGGGUUGCCUGCGUCAAGAGAACGACUCCCUGGAGAACAGACAGCUCAUUAGGGACCUGGAGGUGGCCCAGAUUGAACUAAGCAGCUCCAAGACCAAGUGAGGCAGCUGGAGACAGCGCUGGCCUGUAGAGAUGGAGGCCAAGGAUCGGUACCAGAGACAGCGCUGGCCUGUAGAGAUGGAGGCCAAGGAUCGGUACCAGAGACAGCGCUGGCCUGUAGAGAUGGAGGCCAAGGAUCGGUACCAGAGACAGCGCUGGCCUGUAGAGAUGGAGGCCAAGGAUCGGUACCAGAGACAGCGCUGGCCUGUAGAGAUGGAGGACAAGGAUCGGUAUCAGAGACAGCGCUGGCCUGUAGAGAUGGAGGCCAAGGAUCGGUACCAGAGACAACGCUGGCCUGUAGAGAUGGAGGCCAAGGAUCAGUACCAGAGACAGCGCUGGCCUGUAGAGAUGGAGGCCAAGGAUCAGUACCAGAGACAGCUGGACAUCAAGAGCCACGAGGUGUCUGCGUUGGAGCUGGAGUGGGCGCGCUUGUCUAUAGAUGAGGAGCUGACAAGGAGGUGCAGGAGAAGAGGACACCCGGCUGCACAGCUCCCCCCCGGCUGCACAGCUCUCCCGGCUGCACAGCUCCCCCGGCUGCACAGCUCCCCCGGCUGCACAGCUCCCCCGGCUCCACAGCUCCCCCGGCUCCACAGCUCCCCCGGCAGCANNNNNNNNNNAUUUUAGAUCCUUCCAUUUUUCUUAAUUUCUUCAUUCAUUAGGGCCCAUUUCCUUUAGACUUCUGUGAUUCUAGAACUGAACUGAACAAAUAACGUUCGUUGUGGAAACCCUCUCCACCCCUUCUCCUCCCCUUCUCCUCCCCUUCUCUUCCCCUUCUCUUCCCCUUCUCCUCCCCCCUGCAGUUGUGGACUUGGAGGAGAAGCUCCACUGCUGUGAGGAGGACAGGCGGACCUCUGUGCAGCAUGUGAAGGAUCUGGAGGGACAGCUACAGGAGGUGCGCGAUGAGAUGCACGACACCCUAGAGAAACUACAGGAGCUGAGAGACCUGUUACAGGCCUCGCAGCUUGGCGCAGAUGAACGACAGAUUUCAUUGGAGAAACUGUCCGCCGAGCUCAGGUGAGCCUCUCUGCCAACCGCCCGACACACACACACACACACACACACACACACACACACACACACACACACACACACACACACACACACACACACACACACCCCAUGACCGUUGGUCUCCAUUUGUUGCUUCAUUGAAGAAGACAGGUUUCCCCUCAAACCUUUAGGAAAUGCUUCUUAAACAAAAUCAUCUCCAAACAGACAAGUCCCCCUCCCCAAGUACGGUCAGGGGAAAAUGUAAUAAAAUGACUGCAUGGCAAUUUGAAGGUGAAGGUAUUUCAUUUCUAAAACCUAUUUCAUUACACAUUUCAUUGAAGAAGCGCUGCCAGCACACCGGAAGUAACACGUGCUGUCUAUGGACAGUGUAACCAUGGCAACCGCUGACCUGCCGAGCGCUGUGGAUUUGUGUCUGCGACUUCGUUGACAGACCGGUUUGGGAAGGCUGGUUCCUAAGUCCUGCGUUUUGAUUUGGUUUUAACACAAUGAAAACAUUCUUUGGUCAGAUUUAAUAAUCUUUGAUUUUGGAUGACCUUGUUUGUCUUUUUACUGUGACUUUUUACUACAUAAAAAAGGAAAUAUGAUAUGUGUAAUAUGUAUAUACUAUAUUUAAAAGUACAUAUUACGUACUGUGCAUAACUUAUUUGUUGAGAAUUAGGUGCAAUGCUGAAAACGUAGCUCCUAUUUACACUGAAUCCUGACGUGAUCAUCAUCAUCAUCAUCAUCAUCAUCAAGGGAAAGCCUCCGUUUCAAGAGGAGGAGGCUAACUGUACUAUACAGUGGCAGGCUGAGUUGGUCUCUGUCAUUCAUAAUAUGGAUCAUUCUAUUUGUAUUAUUUAUAGAUUUCAUAAUGUAUUGUUUUUAUAAUGUAUAAAUUGUGUAUUCUUUUGAGGCUUUGUCGCAGUGCGGAGAACCAAGAGCAGUUGCUUUGGACACACACACACACACACACACACACACACACGGAUAUCAAGCACCCGUGAUGAGUCAUAAAUCAUUUGAUACACAUGAUCUCUUUGUGUACAUAGAGACACAGAACAGGAUAUUACAUUUUACGUCCUGUUCUCCAUUCCAAAUACAAUAUCACUCUUGUCUGUCUGGUAUGGAGUUAAUGGCCUCUGUUUGAUACCAACCAGCCACUUCAUCUUUGGUAAACAUCUUUGUCAAAUACACAGUUGUCCCCCAGCCAACUGACUUGACAAGUUGACAGUGUCACCAACUGUCAAAGGGCACGCUCUAACUGGGUGUAUGUCAUGGGGAUUAUUGUGAAGCUUUGACAUGUAUACACGUGGAUCGUCUCUCAUUCAAACAUAAUAACAACUACAGCAACACCUGAUGAUCUGUAAAAUCCUAUUGAACAGCUACUGUAACUCCUCCCCUCAGGCAUGGAUGCAGUAGUAUUGAAGUUAAACUAAAGGCGUCAAAAAGACUACGUUCUGUGACUGAGUACAGGCUGUCUGAGGGGAUCAGAAUCACUUAUCUGGGUCACACACUGAUUCAUCUCUCCUGGACAGAACUACCUAAAGAUGAACAUCUGACCAAAUUGCGUGAGAUUUUUUGUUACGGGUUAACUGACAUUACACACUGACUAGUUAUUUAGAAUGCAAGGUGAUUUGUUGAUCAGUGACUCGGACUGCGACGCAGUUAAUCUCAAACGCACACAACAUCUCUGCAUUACAGUCACAAGUGGUUUUCCUUUGAUUCCCUCGUGUGUGUGUGAAACAAAAUGCCCUUUACUCAGAUGUGAUCAGAUAGAAUAUGCCCCUGGUGAACAGUGAUUUCACAGCCCAAAUAUGUAGGAAUAAUUGAGUGCGGGUGUGUGAUUUCACAGUUGUGCCGGUGCUUCUGGGUAGGUUCCCCAGCUCCACAUAACAUGCCUUCAGAUCCACCGUGUGUGUGAGGCAACAUUAACUGUGUGGCACGCCAUAGUAUAUUUAAUUUGAAUGGCCAAAGUCUUAAUGGAUGGAAUUAUAAUAAAUAAGGCCUUUCUCUCUCUGUGUGUGUCUCCCUCCUCUUCCUCAGCUGGGCCAGUUGGACGUGGUCAUCAGAGACCAUACCCUGGAGAUAGACAAAAAGGGUCAGUCCCUACAGCAGACUGGACCAGAGAAAGUGGUUAAAGACUGAGACAGACAUCAUAAAGGCCACAUUACACUCAUUUGGAGUUGUUGUUGGCCCUGGAAACCACAUACUCUCCAUUCUGGUAUAGUGAUAAAUGUGAAGAGCUGUUGACUAUCACCUCAUGUUUUGUCUCUACAGGUGGAGUUUUUGAGUGACAGGUUAGACCUGCUAAAAGCACAACUACAUGGGAAGGAGGAUUCUUAGGAAGGUAUGAGAGAGGGAGAGAUGAGUUAUGGUAUUAUUAUACUGAUGGAUGGAGGGAGAGAUGAGUUAUGGUAUUAUUAUACUGAUGGAUGGAGGGAGAGGUGAGUUAGGGUAUUAUUAUACUGAUGAAUGGAGGGAGAGAUGAGUUAUGGUAUUAUUAUACUGAUGGAUGGAGGGAGAGGUGAGUUAGGGUAUUAUUAUACUGAUGAAUGGAGGGAGAGAUUUAUGGUUGCGUACCUGAAGUAUUGUUCUGACAAAACACCACCAGUAACAUCAUAACAUAAUUUCAUGGUGUUCAGUCUUCAGUUACCUUUCAGAACCAUCUGAAACCAUAAACUGGUCCCAGAUCAGCUUCAGAUAUCUGAUUUGACCAUCUAGGAGUAGGGACCCUCUACCUGACCUUUGACCUAUUGCUCCAGGACUCUGCAGCAGAGCCAGCACCUGUGUCUCGGGAGAGAACAACACAAGAACUCCAGAGGACGGUUGGGGAGCUGCAGGAUACACUCGCUGGGAGAGCCUGUGCAGAGCGAUGGAAAGCAUCACCCAACAUGCCAGGGGCAAGGCGAAACCUUCAUUUUGUUGCUGUUUAUAAAAGGACAUACCCAAAUGAAACCAUGCAUUCUUUCUGUGUUGUAUCCAUAACACAACAAAGUGUGGUAUUUCUGUCAAUUUUACUAUGGCUAGAAGAUGACCUGUGUGUUGUCUUCUAUAGGUGGCACAGGUGUGUGGUCCAGGCAGAGGUCAGACUGCAAGCCACUGUCUCAUCUCUGCAGCUGGAGGAGAGAGAACGGCAGGUACAACAGGGCCCAACAACGGUCUUUGUAGUGUCUGUCAGUCGUUUUCUCUCUCUCUUUGUUUGUCAGUCUCUUUCUCUCUCUGUUGCUGUCUCUGUCUGUCUCCGUUUCUCUUUCUCUCUCUGUUGCCGUCUCUCUGUCUCUCUCUCUGUUGUUGUCUCUGUCUCUCUCUCUUUCUUU
rnacentral:lncRNA from 13 species